CGCGCGGGUUAAGUAGUGUCGCGAAGUGCCGCACGCUGAUACGCGCAAUUGACAGACUUCAACAGCAAUAUCAUAUCAAUCUUCAUCGAGCGAUUCCAUGAUCGCACCCACGAGAAGCGCCGAUCUGCGAGAACGCUCAUUCUUCUUCAACGACAAGGCGCGGCGAGUGUUUAAGAAAAUGCCGAUCCUCUCGGAGCUGUCGCGCCGAUUUCACAUGUUAACGACAGACGCGAAGCCGGAUCCACCGCGCACCGGCAUCCCUGGUUACACGCACAACCUGCCGCCGACGGAGGACACGACGAAGAAACCGCGAUCGAGAUCGACACCCACCACGCCGGAGGAAUUGCACGCACACAGAACCGACAAGGUUGACGCCGACACCGACGUCGACGUCGACGACGACGGUGUCGACGUGACAGCGUCGGUACGACGGCAAAAAUCGGUGCCGAACGACGCGACGCCCACGAGAGAUUUCGCCGCGAAAGCGGAAGACCUCGGCCACACGGACGAGCCAACGAACGAGUCGAAACAGUACAAACGACCAAGGACGCGGACGAGAGUGAAACACGCUAAAUAUUCGCAAGGCAUGAACGUAGUGAAUUACAACAUCGUCAAUUCGAACGGGGUGAAGAUCGGCUCGCGGACGAGCUACAUAUGCAACGUGAAUUAUGCGACAAACAAUAACGCGACAGCACAACCCGAAGCUUCCUGGUCGAAGCCGAAGCACCGGUCGAUGCCGCAAAACGUGGAGGAGUUGAGCGCGUGCGACGAAGAGCUCACGUUCGACGACAUGAUCACCGUCAAGACACACGUCGGCCACGGCUGGAGGGACGUCGCGAGGAGGCUGUCGUACUCGGACGGCCAGAUCGAACAGUUCGAGGAGAAUUUCAGGCACAAAGGCGUCGACGAGGUGAUAUAUCAGUUGUUGCUCGAUUGGAAACAAGCGAACACGCGAGACGCCCGGCUGGGAACACUAGUCAGUGCAUUGUGGUCUUGUCAAGAGUACGACUGCGUCGAGCGGCUAGCCGCGGCUCGCAAGACUCCCUCUUAGUUGCGACUUGGAAAUUCUACUCUGCGUCGCCUAUCUGAUGAACGCUUGUACAUACGUGCGCGAUUGUUCGCGAUUUAUUUUUUUUUUCUACUCGAAGUAGCAUUCCAAUUACAUUUUUAUAUAAAUCGUAUAUACUCCGGCGCGCACACGGCUCAUACGCACGUAUGAACGUCUGCCACAAGUACAUAUCGCGCGAAGAUCGUUUUUAUAUUCGUCGUUUAUCGUUCCGAAGCGAUCGAAGAAGUUUACCGUGUGGACACGCGCAUUCGACCUUCGUCGUCCGUUUUGGGAUUGUACAGAAUUACAAUGAGGAAUUCCCGGCGGUUCGGACGGGAACAUGAUCUGAUUAAUAAUAUUCGGACAUAAUACGGUGCCCACGCAUACAUUCUCAACAAAACACAUCGCACUAUAAACAGACCUCUCCAUAAUUUUGAACGGCGAA
rnacentral:misc_RNA from 1 species